UGGGGAAUCUUGCACAAUUGUCUCAAGCCUGAUUCAGCCAUGCCGCGUGUAUGAAGAAGGACGUAGGGUUGUAAAGAAGUUUCAGCGGGGAGGAAGGUGUUGUGGUUAAUAACCACAGCAAUUGACGUUACCCGCAGAAGAAGCACCGGCUAACUCCGUGCCAGCAGCCGCGGUAAUACGGAGGGUGCAAGCGUUAAUCGGAAUUACUGGGCGUAAAGCGCACGCAGGCGGUCUGUCAAGUCGGAUGUGAAAUCCCCGGGCUCAACCUGGGAACUGCAUCCGAAACUGGCAGGCUUGAGUCUUGUAGAGGGGGGUAGAAUUCCAGGUGUAGCGGUGAAAUGCGUAGAGAUCUGGAGGAAUACCGGUGGCGAAGGCGGCCCCCUGGACAAAGACUGACGCUCAGGUGCGAAAGCGUGGGGAGCAAACA
rnacentral:rRNA from 1 species